rnacentral:rRNA from 1 species
UACGAAGGGGGCUAGCGUUGCUCGGAAUCACUGGGCGUAAAGGGUGCGUAGGCGGGUCUUUAAGUCAGGGGUGAAAUCCUGGAGCUCAACUCCAGAACUGCCUUUGAUACUGAAGAUCUUGAGUUCGGGAGAGGUGAGUGGAACUGCGAGUGUAGAGGUGAAAUUCGUAGAUAUUGGGAAGAACACCGGUGGCGAAGGCGGCUCACUGGCUCGUAACUGACGCUCAGGCGCGACAGCGUGGGGAUCAAACAGG